GGCUUUCUGCGGUAGAGAAGGAGGCCAGGAGGAGGAGGUUGGCUGAAGGUGAGAAAUUAGCUCGUGUAGAUGUCCUCUGCUUGGCCAAACACGCCGUCCACCUGGCCUAACAUCGCUGUGGCGGAUAACUUGAUCGCUAUGAGGACUGAAGACAGGUAAGUGCGGGAUCAUCCCACCCCUUCUCUCCCUUCUGAGCUCCAGUCUCUUCCCUCGCUUGCUCUCAUCGUCACUGGGAAAUAUGGGGUUCGCGUCCCUGACCAGCCUGCUCUUUAUCGCAGAGAGCAAGCGAGUCUUGCACGGGGAAUUUGCACUUGGCUGUUGCUCCCUCGAGAAACAGAUUCCCUAGAGAAGGAAAGGAAUCUGGCAGCAGCUCUCCUCAGUGGUAGAAGAAAUGGGAAUUAAUUGAGUGUACCUAAUUAGGCUGACACUUUGCCCUGGAAGUUAUUUCCUGGUGUUAUCUCUCUAACGAGACGACCUUCAUCCCAUGUCCUGUUCAGUACUGCGGCACAGCCUCCGUGCUGAGUCACAGCACUGGCGCUAACGCCGGCAGCCGUCGCCUCUUACCACCUGCAGAGGCGAGUAACAGGGCUGCUGUGGCCAGGUCUGAAAGGAGGCGACAAGCUGCGCAGCUCUGCUCUCCUGCUUCCAUCCUGCUUUUUCUCUGGUCUGCUCCAUCUUCUGGUCUAAGGAAUGUCAGCACCUGCUAUAACGCUCCCAUCACUGGAGAACAGACUAAUCCUGACGUGAACCAAAAUAUCCUCCCAGCAAACGGCGUGCUGCCUUGUGGGAGCUGGCGUUUGGGGAAAUCGGGUUUAUCUUACCAGCGGUGUCCCUUCCCGUAAGGCCGCGCAUCACCUCCUUUUCCUCAGCCUGUCGCAGAGCCUGGCUCCUAGAGGAAAAUGGGAACAUCCGCAUGCAGUGCGUCUGGAUUUGAUGGAAGAAUUUAGGCUUUUUUGUAGAAAGAAGGUGCUCGGAGACCUCCUAUUUUGCAUAUAUUGGCUUGUUUUGGUGUUUUCGGGGAGGCCGUGGGGCUGGGGGGGCGCCGUGGGGCCAGCGUGCACACGAAACACGGACAAGAGGCCACCGCGAGGGCCGCGCCGGCACCGGGCCUGGGGGUUUGGUCUCCGCUUCUUGCUUCCCUGCCGGCCGCUGCGGUGCCGGGCUGCUGGGCGGCCGGAGCUGGGAGCAAGUGCAGCCCUCUGUCCUUAGGUGAGUGCAACGCUUAAUAACCUUAAAAAAUAAUAAUGAUACAUUAAAAAAAA
rnacentral:lncRNA from 1 species